UAGAAAAUAUUGAUUGAAUCG
rnacentral:piRNA from 1 species